GGACGCUCAUGAGGGUUUCGGCCCUUGUGGGAGUGGCGGACGGGUGAGUAGCGCGUGGGAACCUGCCCUCUUGUGGGGGAUAACCGAGGGAAACUUCGGCUAAUACCGCAUGCGCCCCUNGGGGGAGACCUUGGGGGGAAAGAUUUAUCGCAGGAGGAGGGGCCCGCGUCGGAUUAGGUAGUUGGUGGGGUAACGGCCUACCAAGCCUGUGAUCCGUAGCUGGUCUGAGAGGAUGAUCAGCCACACUGGGACUGAGACACGGCCCAGACUCCUACGGGAGGCAGCAGUGGGGAAUAUUGGACAAUGGGCGCAAGCCUGAUCCAGCAAUGCCGCGUGAGUGAUGAAGGCCUUAGGGUUGUAAAGCUCUUUCGGCGGGGACGAUGAUGACGGUACCCGCAGAAGAAGCCCCGGCUAACUUCGUG
rnacentral:rRNA from 1 species